rnacentral:rRNA from 1 species
GCUGGAAUCGCUAGUAAUCGCGGAUCAGAAUGCCGCGGUGAANACGUUCCCGGGUCUUGUACACACCGCCCGUCACACCAUGGGAGUCGGAAAUGCCCGAAGCCGGUGACUCAACCUUUAAGGAGAGAGCCGUCGGAGGCAGGUCUGAUAACUGGGGUGAAGUCGUAACAAGGUACC